CACACACAGUGCAGGCCGUGAUCCGAUGGAAACACACACAGUGCAGGCCGUGAUCAUCGGAUCGUCCUUCCGUAGCCUUCCGUGACCGUGAUCCCUCAUCCCUGAUCAGCUACUUCGUACAGGAACCUUCCAGAACUCUUGAGAACUGGGAUCCAACGCAGCUGGGCUCCUCUCGGUUUUAUAAAAAUCUCAACAGGGUUUCGUUUUUUCGCCUUAAUCCCCAUCAAACCCCAAGCGCGCACCCAUCUUCUGGCCUUUCCAGCCGCCAAGCCUUCUAGAAGCUUCAAGAGCUCGAUUCGAUCGGAACCCUCGCCAUGGCCGACGAGGCGAAGGCGAAGGGUAACGCGGCGUUCUCGGCCGGCCGCUUCGAGGAGGCGGCGCGGCACUUCACGGACGCCAUCGCGCUUGCCCCAGACAACCACGUCCUCUACUCCAACCGGUCGGCGGCGCUCGCCUCGCUCCACCGCUACUCCGAUGCUCUCGCCGACGCGCAGAAGACCGUCGACCUCAAGCCCGACUGGGCCAAGGGCUACUCCCGCCUCGGCGCGGCGCACCUCGGCCUCGGCGACGCGGCCAGCGCCGUCGCCGCCUACGAGAAGGGCCUCGAGCUCGACCCCAGCAACGAGGGCCUCAAAGCGGGGCUCCAGGACGCCAAGAAAGCCGCCGCCGCCCCUCCGCGCCGCGGGUCGUCCGGCCCCGACGCCAUCGGCCAGAUGUUCCAGGGCCCCGAGCUGUGGAGCAAGAUCGCGUCCGACCCCUCCACGCGCGCCUACCUUAACGAGCCCGAUUUUAUGCAUAUGAUGCGCGAAGUGCAGAGGAACCCCAGCAGCAUCAGUAUGUAUCUCUCCGAUCCCCGCAUGAUGCAGGUGCUCAGCCUCAUGCUUAAUGUCAAGAUCCAGAGACCCGAGGCCUCCGAGCCGUCGCAGUCUACCCCGCCGCCGCCGAAGCAGCAGCAGCAGCAGCAGACGCCGCCUUCUGAGACGAAGGCUAGGGAUGUGGAGCCCGAGCCCGAGGCAGAGCCGAUGGAUUUGACUGAUGAGGAAAAGGACCGCAAGCAGACGAAAGCUGCUGCUCAGAAAGAGAAGGAGUUAGGUAACGCAGCUUACAAGAAGAAGGACUUCGAGGUGGCAAUCCAGCAUUACACCAAAGCCUUGGAACUUGACGACGAGGAUAUUUCCUAUCUGACUAACCGAGCAGCAGUCUACAUUGAGAUGGGAAAGUACGAUGAAUGCAUCAAGGACUGUGAUAAGGCUGUGGAGAGGGGAAGAGAACUUCGUGCUGAUUUCAAGAUGAUUUCAAGGGCACUGACAAGAAAAGGAACAGCUCUGGUCAAACUUGCUAAGACCUCUAAGGAUUUUGAUAUUGCUAUCGAGACCUUCCAGAAGGCUCUGACUGAGCAUCGGAACCCAGACACUCUUAAAAAGUUAAAUGAGGCUGAGAAAGCAAAGAAAGAGUUAGAGCAACAAGAGUAUUAUGAUCCAAAAUUGGCAGAUGAGGAGAGAGAGAAAGGCAAUGAGUUCUUCAAGGAGCAAAAAUACCCAGAAGCAAUAAAACACUACACAGAGGCUCUCAAGAGAAACCCGAAGGAUCCUAGGGUUUAUAGCAAUAGGGCCGCCUGCUACACCAAGUUAGGAGCCAUGCCUGAAGGUCUUAAAGACGCAGAAAAGUGUCUUGAACUUGACCCCACCUUCACCAAAGGGUAUACGAGGAAAGGUGCAAUUCAGUUCUUCAUGAAAGAAUAUGACAAGGCCGUGGAAACCUACCAGGCUGGCUUGAAGCAUGACCCGAACAACCAGGAACUGCUUGAUGGUGUUAAGAGGUGUGUUGAACAGAUCAACAAGGCCAACAGAGGUGAAAUAAGCCAGGACGAAUUGCAAGAAAGACAGAACAAAGCUAUGCAAGACCCAGAGAUCCAGAACAUUCUUACCGACCCUAUCAUGCGACAGGUUCUAAUAGAUUUCCAGGAGAACCCAAGUGCGGCCCAGGAGCACCUGAAGAACCCCGGGGUUAUGCAGAAGAUUCAGAAGCUUGUAAGUGCUGGGAUAGUUCAGAUGAGAUGAUCGAGCGAUGCGAUGAUUGGCUUUGUUCGUUCACGUGCACCCUGGUCAUACAUAUGUUUUAACAAGCAGCAGCGGCAUAAGAAUGAACCUGUUCGGGGGCUAAUCUUAUUCCUUUUGGAUUGGCUGCCUCACUGCUCGUUACCCGUUUGAUUUGAAUUUGAGGCUUGAGGACUUGGUUAAAGCCACACCUCCCUCCAGUCAAACUGGUAAAAACUGUUCCUUUGGCGGUAAAACCUGCUACUUCUCCGUCCGUCAAUUUUUCAAUCCAAAGGAGCUUAGAUUAGAUGUUUCAGCACCACUCGCAUUGGAUCUGUCUGCAAUGUGGAAUGUAAAAUGACAAAGGUCUCUUUAGAAUGUAGGCAUUUUCGAAGAAGCAUACAGAAAUUUCAUUGGAAUCUAGGGUGGUCGACUGUCGAGGGAGCGUCUUAUUCCUAUGAAAUUUCUGCUUUAUUUUAUAAAAUUUCUACUUUCUAAAUUGACCCUUCGUUAUUGAAAGCUCGAUUGAAGGAUUAUUUUCUGAAUCCUGCUCUUUUUUUCUAUGUUUUUGAACUAAUUCAUGUAAAAUUUAUGUACUAUUUUUGUGAAAUUCUGCGUUCCAAAGAAGCCCUGAACUAUUCUUUCUUUUUAGCUGUUAAAUUGUUCUUCUUGCUCCACGGCUAAACAUGGCAUUAGCUAUUGGAUUGAUCUUCUUGCUCUAAAGAACUGGAUGCUGAAAAUCGAGGGGCUCUGAAUGGAGGAAGAUGAUGGUGAUAUCGAGUUUGUGGAGUUCCCUAAGGGGGUGGAGGUUGAAGGAAUAUGUGCUAGCCUUUUGGUUUUGGUGGCAUGCUUUUAGCCUUUUGGAUGUUGACAGGUUCUAACUUAGAACUUCUAAGGGAGAUAGGAGUCAUAGCCUUUUGGAUGCUGCUAGCCUUUUGUUGGCAUGUUGACAUGCUGCACUUGUGCUGCUAGAGCAGCAGUGCUAGCCUUUUGGUGGUUGACUGCGACUAGUUCUGGUUGUUUCUUUUCAUGGCAGGAAAGUGCAUGUAAAAGUGGCUAAACUAUUACUCACCUAGGAACAGAAUGUACAUUGUCUUUUGUCUAGUCUAGUGGUACAGUCUUGUUGACACAUAAUGAAAAUGUAAAAUUGUAUGUUGUCUAAAUUCUGAAUUUUUAUGAUGCUUGAGUUCAAACUUCA